UACGGAGGGUGCAAGCGUUAUCCGGAUUCACUGGGUUUAAAGGGUGCGUAGGCGGUCGGGUAAGUCUGAUGUGAAAUCUCACAGCUUAACUGUGAAACUGCAUUGGAUACUAUUCGGCUUGAGAGUUGGAGGGGGGACUGGAAUUCUUGGUGUAGCAGUGAAAUGCGUAGAUAUCAAGAGGAACACCAGUGGCGAAGGCGGCUAUCUGGACGGUUUCUGACACUAAGACUCGAAAGCGUGGGGAGCAAACAGG
rnacentral:rRNA from 1 species